AUUGAACGCUGGCGGCAGGCCUAACACAUGCAAGUCGAACGCGUGGCGGACGGGGGAGUAAUGUCUGGGAAACUGCCCGCUGGAGGGGGAUAACUCCAGGAAACGGUAGCUAAUACCGCGUACCAUCGCAUCUGCCCAGAUGGGAUUCGCUAGUAGGUGGGGUAACGGCUCACCUAGGCGACGAUCCCUAGCUGGUCUGAGAGGAUGACCAGCCACACUGGAACGGAGACACGGUCCAGACUCCUACGGGAGGCAGCAGUGGGGAAUAUUGCACAAUGGGCGCAAGCCUGAUGCAGCCAUGCCGCGUGUAUGAAGAAGGCCUUCGGGUUGUAAAGUACUUUCAGCGAGGAGGCGUUACUCGCAGAAGAAGCACCGGCUAACUCCGUGCCAGCAGCCGCGGUAAUUC
rnacentral:rRNA from 1 species